rnacentral:rRNA from 1 species
AUUGAACGCUGGCGGCAGGCCUAACACAUGCAAGUCGAACGAGUGGCGGACGGGUGAGUAAUGUAUGGGCAACUGCCUGAUGGAGGGGGAUAACUACUGGAAACGGUGGCUAAUACCGCAUAAGAUCCGAUGUGCCCACAUGGGAUUAGCUAGUUGGUGGGGUAACGGCUCACCAAGGCGACGAUCCCUAGCUGGUCUGAGAGGAUGAGCAGCCACACUGGAACUGAGACACGGCCCAGACUCCUACGGGAGGCAGCAGUGGGGAAUAUUGCACAAUGGGCGCAAGCCUGAUGCAGCCAUGCCGCGUGUAUGAAGAAGGCCUUCGGGUUGUAAAGUACUUUCAGUGGGGAGGCGUUACCUGCAGAAGAAGCACCGGCUAACUCCGUGCCAGCAGCCGCGGUAAUAC